UCCUUAAAAAGCAGUGGUGGUGCACGCCUUUAAUCCCAGCACUUGGGAGGCAGAGGCAGGCAGAUUGCUGAGUUCGAGGCCAGCCCGGUCUACAGAGUGAGUUCCAGGACAAGGAAGGAAGGAAGGAAGGAAGAAAAGAAAAAAGGAGCACUGGCAGAGGGCUGAGUUCAUCCAGUGUGAUCUCCCGGUUGACAGAAGGGGAAACUGAGGCCUGCAAAGGGGAGGGAUUUACUGGAAGUUACAAAGGAAGACAGUCAUAAACGCCAUCUAGAACUCGGGUCUUCCAGGUCAGCAUUCUUGCUUCUAUAGCUGAGGUGUACUUUCAGGAAAUUCCGAACCGACCGCCACAAUUCCUUCCGCGCUAGGAAUCCCCCAGGAGUUUGCGCUGUGUGGCGAGUAAUAAACUUCCUCCGCAACUCUGCAGUUCUCAGCGCCCUAAAAAAAGAGAG
rnacentral:lncRNA from 1 species